UACGAAGGGGGCUAGCGUUGCUCGGAAUCACUGGGCGUAAAGGGUGCGUAGGCGGGUCUUUUAAGUCAGGGGUGAAAUCCCGGAGCUCAACUCCAGAACUGCCUUUGAUACUGAAGAUCUUGAGUUCGGGAGAGGUGAGUGGAACUGCGAGUGUAGAGGUGAAAUUCGUAGAUAUUCGCAAGAACACCAGUGGCGAAGGCGGCUCACUGGCCCGAUACUGACGCUGAGGCACGAAAGCGUGGGGAAGCAAACAGGGAUUAAGAUGACCCCUGUAGUCCCC
rnacentral:rRNA from 1 species